rnacentral:sRNA from 1 species
AGCGACGUACGUUUUAAGUGCACUGCCUUAAAGCAAUGCUCUAGUUUAAGAAAAUGACACCAUUGAUUUUAUUGAUCUAUACGGUUUUUUUUAUAUACCAUCGAACUUGCGUGUUGCCUGACAAUAGCUGGGUAGUCAGUUGAAAAAGCUCAAAAUGUGUAGCAAGUCGAGGCAGACUGUAUAGAUGUUGUGCAUUUCGUUCUGUGUCUGGAAGGAAACGAACAGACGUGAAAAUGUUUAAUGUUUUGAUACGAGUUCAAGGAGGAAGCUGCAAGUUGGCAUUGAUCUCAUGCCUUCUGGUGCUUUGCUGUGUUACACUAAUGAUAUACCUAGAACAAAGUGUGACAGAUUUCCUGCAAUCUAGUCUGGACUUAGCGUUGAGAAGUUUCAUUCCGCUCAAUACGCUCUUUCUUGUUGCAGUAAGAUUUAGAGAAAAGCCUAUAAAGCAAGAGGGAACCCAUUAAAUACACAAGACAGCUUCAAAAUCGGACAAUGCUUUAUGUGGAGGAUUGGUGUCUUACAAGGUUUCCCUGUCGAUACGUCUGUACUA